rnacentral:rRNA from 1 species
AACGAACGCUGGCGGCGUGCCUAACACAUGCAAGUCGAGCGAGAAAGCCCGCAAGGGUGAGUAAAGCGGCGCACGGGUGCGUAACACGUGGGUAAUCUGCCCUGGAGCCCGGAAUAACUCGCCGAAAGGCGUGCUAAUGCCGGAUAAGACCACGGGAACUUCGGUUCCUGCGGGAAAAGGUGGCCUCUGUAUCAAAGCUAUCUCUUCCGGAUGAGCCCGCGGCCCAUCAGCUAGUUGGCGGGGUAAUGGCCCACCAAGGCUACGACGGGUAGCUGGUCUAAGAGGACGAUCAGCCACACUGGAACUGAGACACGGUCCAGACUCCUACGGGAGGCAGUAGUGGGGAAUCUUGCGCAAUGGGCGAAAGCCUGACGCAGCAACGCCGCGUGUGUGAUGAAGGUCUUCGGAUCGUAAAGCACUGUCGGGAGGGACGAAUAAGGUGCCGGCUAACACUCGGCGCCGAUGACGGUACCUCCAAAGGAAGCACCGGCUAACUCUGUGCCAGCCGCCGCCGUAACAC